rnacentral:lncRNA from 1 species
UGUCACCAUGUCAGCCUGUCUGUGUCCCUGUCACCAUGUCAGCCUGUCUGUGUCCUGUCACCAUGUCAGCCUGUCUGUGUCCUGUCACCAUGUCAACCUGUCUGUGUCCUGUCACCAUGUCAGCCUGUCUGUGUCCCUGUCACCAUGUCAGCCUGUCUGUGUCCUGUCACCAUGUCAGCCUGUCUGUGUCCCUGUCACCAUGUCAGCCUGUCUGUGUCCUGUCACCAUGUCAGCCUGUCUGUGUCCUGUCACCAUGUCAGCCUGUGUCACUGUCACCAGGUUAGCAUGUCUGUGUCCCUGUCACCCUGUCAGCCUGUCUGUGUCCCUGUCACCAUGUUAGCCUGUCUGUGUCCCUGUCACCCUGUCAGCCUGUCUGUGUCUCUGUCAGCCUGUCUGUGUCCCUGUCACCAUGUCAGCCUGUGUCCCUGUCACCAUGUUAGCCUGUCUGUGUCCCUGCCACCAUGUCAGCCUGUCUAUGUCCCUGUCACCAUGUCAGCCUGCGUCCCUGUCACCCUGUCAACCUGUCUGUGUCCUGUCAUGACACUCUCUGACUCCCCAGAAAUAUUGACAUUCAUAGUUAAUUCAAUCUUCCUUUCAUUGAACCCACUCAAGUCCCGUCUCAGAACCCACCAUCACAGCAGCUAGACACACCAUAGAAGACCCCGUGGUGCAACCGAAGGGGCCCCACACACUCUAUAUAUAAAUCAUCAACCUCUAAACUCUGUCAGAAAGCCGGGCCUGGGAAAGAAUCCCGGUCAGGUUAUGGAAUGAUAUCCGAUCCGGCCAGAGAGAGAGAGCAACGGAGGGUUUAAAGGGUUUAUGCAGUGAGCUCUGGGAUAGAAGGGAAAAGGUAGGUCUCUUCCUGGUCUCUCUCCCAGUCUCUCCCAGUCUCUCCUGGUCUCUUCAACUCUCUUCCAGCCUUUUCCAGUCUUUCCUGAUGUCUCUCGCCUAGUCUCUCUCCCAGUCUCUCUCCCAGUCUCUCUCCAGUCUCUCUCCAGUCUCUCUCCAGUCUCUCUCCAGUCUCUAUCCCAGUCUCUCUCCAGUCUCUCCCCAGUCUCUAUCCCAGUCUCUAUCCCAUCUCUCUCCAGUCUCUCUCCCAGUCUCUCUCCCAGUCUCUCUCCCAGUCUCUCUCCAGUCUCUCUCCCAGUCUCUCUCCAGUCUCUAUCCCAGUCUCUCUCCAGUCUCUCGCCAGUCUCUCUCCCAGUCUCUCUCCAGUCUCUAUCCUAGUCUCUCUCUCCAGUCUAUCUCUCCAGUCUCUAUCCCAGUGUUUAUCCCAGUCUCUCUCUCCAGUCUCUCUCUCCAGUCUCUCUCUCCAGUCUCUAUCCCAGUCUCUCUCUCCAGUCUCUAUCCCAGUCUCUCUCUCCAGUCUCUCUCUCCAGUCUCUAUCCCAGUCUCUCUCUCCAGUCUCUCUCUCCAGUCUCUAUCCCAGUCUCUCUCUCCAGUCUAUCUCUCCAGUCUCUAUCCCAGUCUCUCUCUCCAGUCUCUCUCUCCAGUCUCUCUCUCCAGUCUCUCUCUCCAGUCUCUAUCCCAGUCUUUAUCCCAGUCUCUCUCUCCAGUCUCUAUCCCAGUCUCUCUCUCCAGUCUCUCUCUCCAGUCUCUCUCUCCAGUCUCUCCCUCCAGUCUAACUCUCCAGUCUCUCCCUCCAGUCUCUCUCUCCAGUCUCUCUCUCCAGUCUCUCUCUCCAGUCUCUAUCCCAGUCUCUAUCCCAGUCUCUCCCUCCAGUCUCUCUCUCCAGUCUCUAUCCCAGUCUCUAUCCCAGUCUCUCUCUCUCCAGUCUCUCUCUCCAGACUCUCUCUCCAGACUCUCUCUCCAGUCUCUAUCCCAGCCUCUCCCAGCUCUGAAGCCGAUUGUCCUGGCUGGGUUAAUUGGGAUUUCCCCCGAUGGGAGUGCCGGAGCGUGGAAAGGAAAGUUUCGGCUCAGCGGUCCAAGGAAAACAAGGCUUGGAUGUGGAUGUGCACCACGGGUAGUUAGGAAUGGGAACAACAUCGCAAUAAAGGAAAAUAAAUAAGAUGGGGGAGGAGGAGGAGAGUAAGAAGGGAGGGGUGAAGGAGGAGGGGAGAGUGGGGGAUACGCAAUUGCAGGAUAAAUUAAGUGGCUGAGUCCCAACACUAGACACCAGACACACAGACACCAGACAUACAGAGGAAAACCUGCAACCCCCUUCUAACCCUGCUCAUUGUGAGCUACAAGGGGGGUAUAAGGGACAGAGAAGGCAGGAGGGAGAUAGAGGGGGCUGUCUCUCUAUCUAUCUGUCUGACAGUCUGGUUUUAAUGGAAAAAGGAAUAGAUUCCCUCCUCCUUCAUAAAGGGUGAUCCUCAUGAGGAACUCAAUGACCAGGGCUUUGAAAGUGUUGAACCGACAGACAGACAGCAAAUCCCCCAACGCUUUCAACUCUGAGAAGAGGGGGAUUGUGAGUAGAUGGAGGGUUAUAAGGGGUGCUGAGGGGGGAUUGAUGGGUGGAUGGGGAGUUAUAAGGGGUGCUGAGGGGGGAUUAGGGGAGGAUGGG